UGUGCCGUUUUUAAUUCAUGUCUCAAAAAUUACAAACGGCACACAACGCGGCAACAAACGUAAACAUGAACAUUACGUUAACACAUCCUCAUCCUUCCAGUGUGGAAGCUAGGCUAGCUAACAGAAGCAAAGUCAACAAACGAUACCUUCCAAGUCCAAGACAGUUUCUUUCAAACCUGUUCCUGUUAAGGAAUAAAGCACCAAGGAUUUCUUUAGAUGACCCAUGCAACCAACUAUUACAUACCGUAAUUGUGUCUACAGUGGAGUGAAUGAAGAGAGAAGCAAUGUUAUGAAAAUAGCGAGCGCGAGCAUCACUGACUGUGGCUUCAUUGUUUCGCUUCUCCAGCUUCUUCAAGACGUCCUCUGUAGAAACCUCUGAAAAAAAGAGCAAAGUUAUCUAUCAGUUUGUUAUUAAGCAUGACAGAGCCUAAGCAUGUUUUAACUUCUUUCAGUAAAACACUUUAUCUAA